AUUGAACGCUGGCGGCAUGCCUUACACAUGCAAGUCGAACGGCAGCACGGGGCAACCUGGUGGCGAGUGGCGAACGGGUGAGUAAUGCAUCGGAACGUACCUUUCAGUGGGGGAUAACGUAGCGAAAGUUACGCUAAUACCGCAUAUUCUGUGAGCAGGAAAGCAGGGGAUCGCAAGACCUUGCGCUGAUUGAGCGGCCGAUGUCAGAUUAGCUAGUUGGUGAGGUAAAGGCUCACCAAGGCGACGAUCUGUAGCGGGUCUGAGAGGAUGAUCCGCCACCCUGGAACUGAGACACGGUCCAGACUCCUCCGGGGGGCAGCAGUGGGGAAUUUUGGACAAUGGGGGCAACCCUGAUCCAGCCAUGCCGCGUGAGUGAAGAAGGCCUUCGGGUUGUAAAGCUCUUUCGGCCGGGAAGAAAUCGCACGGGCUAAUACCCUGUGUGGAUGACGGUACCGGAAUAAGAAGCACCGGCUAACUACGUGCCAGCCGCCGCCGUAAAAC
rnacentral:rRNA from 1 species